rnacentral:rRNA from 1 species
CUGGCGACCAUAGCGAGUGUGAACCACCUGAUCCCUUCUCGAACUCAGAAGUGAAACCACUCAGCGCCGAUGAUAGUGUGGCAUUCGCCAUGUGAAAGUAGGUCAUUGCCAG